rnacentral:rRNA from 1 species
ACUCCUACGGGAGGCAGCAGUGGGGAAUAUUGGGCAAUGGGCGAAAGCCUGACCCAGCAACGCCGCGUGAAGGAAGAAGGCCUUCGGGUUGUAAACUUCUUUUACCAGGGACGAACACAAUGACGGUACCUGGAGAAAAAGCAACGGCUAACUACGUGCCAGCAGCCGCGGUAAU